rnacentral:rRNA from 1 species
UUUAUGGAGAGUUUGAUCCUGGCUCAGGAUGAACGCUGGCGGCGUGCCUAAUACAUGCAAGUCGAGCGAACGGACGAGAAGCUUGCUUCUCUGAUGUUAGCGGCGGACGGGUGAGUAACACGUGGAUAACCUACCUAUAAGACUGGGAUAACUUCGGGAAACCGGAGCUAAUACCGGAUAAUAUUUUAAACCGCAUGGUUCAAAAGUGAAAGACGGUCUUGCUGUCACUUAUAGAUGGAUCCGCGCUGCAUUAGCUAGUUGGUAAGGUAACGGCUUACCAAGGCAACGAUGCAUAGCCGACCUGAGAGGGUGAUCGGCCACACUGGAACUGAGACACGGUCCAGACUCCUACGGGAGGCAGCAGUA